rnacentral:rRNA from 1 species
GUGUCAGCAGCCGCGGUAAUACGUAAGGACCGAGCGUUGUCCGGAAUCAUUGGGCGUAAAGGGUACGUAGGCGGCUAGAAAAGUUAGAAGUCAAAGGCUAUAGCUCAACUAUAGUAAGCUUCUAAAACUAUUUAGCUUGAGAAAUGGAAGGGAAAGUGGAAUUCCUAGUGUAGCGGUGGAAUGCGCAGAUAUUAGGAAGAAUACCGGUGGCGAAGGCGACUUUCUGGCCAUUAUCUGACGCUGAGGUACGAAAGCGUGGGUAGCAAACAGGAUUAGAUACCCCCGUAGUCC